AGCAGGAAUGGCAGCAGCUGUCUGUCCUCUGCUGCUGUUAAUAGCAACAUAGAAAAUAAUUUGUCUGAUUAGUUUGUCCUUGUAGAGCAAUUAGAAAGAAAACUUGAAACAUAUUUGCCUUGAGACCAGAGAAAGCCCCUACCCAAACUCAGUUACUGAGUCACCCUUCUACUCCCGACGGAAGUGCAGUCCACCCUUCAGAAACCUGAGCAGCUGUCCUGCACCUUUCCUGGAGGUUCAUAUCCUUCCUGAGCUGUGCCCACAGUUUGAGGCACCCACACUCCAACUUCCUGAGCAUAAGAAGAAGCUGACGGGGAGUGGCUCUAUGCUUUUACAGCUACAGUGACAGUCUCUCAGGAGUAGCUCCCAUGAUGAAUCAGUUUUCUGUCUCUGGAGAUCAUCCAGGAGGCCUGGUCUGGAACUUGACUGGUUCCUUAUAGC
rnacentral:lncRNA from 1 species